rnacentral:rRNA from 1 species
UACGGAGGGUGCAAGCGUUAUCCGGAUUCACUGGGUUUAAAGGGUGCGUAGGUGGGCAGGUAAGUCAGUGGUGAAAUCUCCGGGCUUAACCCGGAAACUGCCAUUGAUACUAUCUGUCUUGAAUACCGUGGAGGUGAGCGGAAUAUGUCAUGUAGCGGUGAAAUGCUUAGAUAUGACAUAGAACACCAAUUGCGAAGGCAGCUCACUACACGAAUAUUGACACUGAGGCACGAAAGCGUGGGGAGUCAAACAGGA